UUAUCCUUACUUGCAUACAGUCAGCACAUGUUGAGGACUGUCUUACAGAUGCAAUACGGUAUUGUUGAGUUCUUUGAAACCAAGGAAGUUGAAGUCGUCCCAUGUUCAUGGAUCCGUGGGAACAAGUGCCUGUGGCCAAAUCGGCCAUCAAAUAAAGUGGUGCGAAUGGUUAAGAAGGGGUCUCUCCCGGGUAUGGACUGUGCCGAAUACAACGCACAAGUUGAAGGAAUAUUCGUGUCGUACCGUGAUGCAAGGUUGAAGCUCCCUAUUUCUGAAUUAACCUCAGACAUGAACUCGGAAAUUCCGGCAAAGAGAAGGAGGGUGCCAAAAGUAAUCGAAAGUGAAGACGACUUCCCACCUGUGCCCGGGAGCUUUAUCUUGACUGCAAAAGAGGCCACGACGAGGCAAGGUGAACAUCUGUCUGGUAAGUUGCUCAGCCAAUCUUCAUGUCAUGCAUCAAUUUAAAAAGAAAUUACAGCUACCACACGUCCGUGGAAGGAUACUGCAGGUACGUUUGUGAAAUAU